UACGUAGGGCGCAAGCGUUAUCCGGAAUUAUUGGGCGUAAAGAGCUCGUAGGCGGUUUGUCGCGUCUGCUGUGAAAAUCCGGGGCUCAACCCCGGACUUGCAGUGGGUACGGGCAGACUAGAGUGUGGUAGGGGAGACUGGAAUUCCUGGUGUAGCGGUGAAAUGCGCGGAUAUCAGGAGGAACACCGAUGGCGAAGGCAGGUCUCUGGGCCACUACUGACGCUGAGAAGCGAAAGCAUGGGGAGCGAACAGG
rnacentral:rRNA from 1 species